AGAGUUUGAUCCUGGCUCAGGAUGAACGCUGGCGGCGUGCUUAACACAUGCAAGUCGAACGAACCUUCGGGUUAGUGGCGGACGGGUGAGUAACGCGUGAGAAUCUGCCCUCAGGAGGGGGAUAACGGUUGGAAACGACCGCUAAUACCCCAUAUGCCUACUGGUGAAAUGAAUUUCGCCUGAGGAUGAGCUCGCGUCUGAUUAGCUAGUUGGUGAGGUAAUGGCUCACCAAGGCUUCGAUCAGUAGCUGGUCUGAGAGGAUGAUCAGCCACACUGGGACUGAGACACGGCCCAGACUCCUACGGGAGGCAGCAGUGGGGAAUUUUCCGCAAUGGGCGAAAGCCUGACGGAGCAACGCCGCGUGAGGGACGAAGGCCUCUGGGCUGUAAACCUCCUUUCUCAAGGAAGAAGAUAUGACGGUACUUGAGGAAUAAGCCACGGCUAAUUCCGUGCCAGCAGCCGCGGUAAUAC
rnacentral:rRNA from 1 species